UGCUGGAGGUAUCAGAAGUGCGAAUGCUGACAUGAGUAACGAUAAUGCGGGUGAAAAACCCGCACGCCGGAAGACCAAGGGUUCCUAUCCCAUGUUAAUCAGGGUAGGGUAAGUCGACCCCUAAGGCGAGGCCGAAAGGCGUAGUCGAUGGGAAACGGAUUAAUAUUUCCGUACUUGGUAUAAUUGCGAUGGGGGGACGGAGAAGGCUAAGCAAGCAUGGCGAUGGUUGUCCAUGUGAAAGUGAGUAGGGCGUUUGUUUAGGUAAAUCCGGACGAACAUUAAACCUGAGACACGAGACGAGCCACCAAGGUGGUGAAGUUGUUGAUGCCAUACUUCCAGGAAAAGCCUCUAAGCUUCAGAUUAUACCGAAUCGUACCCCAAACCGACACAGGUGGUCAGGUAGAGAAUACUAAGGCGCUUGAGAGAACUCGGGUGAAGGAACUAGGCAAAAUCGUACCGUAACUUCGGGAGAAGGUACGCUCCUAUCUGUGAUGAGACUUGCUCUCUAAGCGGACGGGAGCCGCAGUGACCAGGUGGCUGGGACUGUUUAUUAAAAACACAGCACUGUGCAAAAUCGCAAGAUGACGUAUACGGUGUGACACCUGCCCGGUGCCGGAAGGUUAAUUGAUGGGGUUAUCCUUAGGGAGAAGCUCUUGAUCGAAGCCCCGGUAAACGGCGGCCGUAACUAUAACGGUCCUAAGGUAGCGAAAUUCCUUGUCGGGUAAGUUCCGACCUGCACGAAUGGUGUAACCAUGGCCACGCUGUCUCCACCCGAGACUCAGUGAAAUUGAAAUCGCAGUGAAGAUGCUGUGUACCCGCGGCUAGACGGAAAGACCCCGUGAACCUUUACUACAGCUUGGCACUGAACAUUGAACCUACAUGUGUAGGAUAGGUGGGAGACUUUGAAGAUGAGACGCUAGUUUUGUUGGAGUCGUCCUUGAAAUACCACCCUUGUAGUUUUGAUGUUCUAACGUUGGCCCCUGAAUCGGGGUUACGGACAGUGCCUGGUGGGUAGUUUGACUGGGGCGGUCUCCUCCCAAAGAGUAACGGAGGAGCACGAAGGUUGGCUAAGUACGGUCGGACAUCGUACGGUUAGUGUAAUGGUAGAAGCCAGCUUAACUGCGAGACAGACACGUCGAGCAGGUACGAAAGUAGGUCAUAGUGAUCCGGUGGUUCUGAAUGGAAGGGCCAUCGCUCAACGGAUAAAAGGUACUCCGGGGAUAACAGGCUGAUACCGCCCAAGAGUUCAUAUCGACGGCGGUGUUUGGCACCUCGAUGUCGGCUCAUCACAUCCUGGGGCUGAAGUCGGUCCCAAGGGUAUGGCUGUUCGCCAUUUAAAGUGGUACGCGAGCUGGGUUUAGAACGUCGUGAGACAGUUCGGUCCCUAUCUGCCGUGGGCGUUUGAGAAUUGAGAGGGGUUGCUCCUAGUACGAGAGGACCGGAGUGAACGAACCGCUGGUGUUCGGGUUGUCAUGCCAAUGGCAUUGCCCGGUAGCUACGUUCGGAACUGAUAAGCGCUGAAAGCAUCUAAGCGCGAAGCAGGCCUCGAGAUGAUUUCUCACUAGACUUUUAAAGUCUCUGAAGGGCCGUUGAAGACUACAACGUUGAUAGGCAAGAUGUGGAAGUGGUGUGAGCCAUUAAGCUAACUUGUACUAAUUACCCGUGAGGCUUAACCAU
rnacentral:rRNA from 1 species